rnacentral:rRNA from 1 species
UUUUAUGGAGAGUUUGAUCCUGGCUCAGGAUGAACGCUGGCGGCGUGCCUAAUACAUGCAAGUCGAGCGAACGGACGAGAAGCUUGCUUCUCUGAUGUUAGCGGCGGACGGGUGAGUAACACGUGGAUAACCUACCUAUAAGACUGGGAUAACUUCGGGAAACCGGAGCUAAUACCGGAUAAUAUUUUGAACCGCAUGGUUCAAAAGUAAAAGACGGUCUUGCUGUCACUUAUAGAUGGAUCCGCGCUGCAUUAGCUAGUUGGUAAGGUAACGGCUUACCAAGGCAACGAUGCAUAGCCGACCUGAGAGGGUGAUCGGCCACACUGGAACUGAGACACGGUCCAGACUCCUACGGGAGGCAGCAGUAGGG